CGAUGCAACGCGAAAAACCUUACCCACCUUUGACAUGUACGGAAUCCUUUAGAGAUAGAGGAGUGCUCGAAAGAGAGCCGUAACACAGGUGCUGCAUGGCUGUCGUCAGCUCGUGUCGUGAGAUGUUGGGUUAAGUCCCGCAACGAGCGCAACCCUUGUCAUUAGUUGCUACAUUCAGUUGGGCACUCUAAUGAGACUGCCGGUGACAAACCGGAGGAAGGUGGGGAUGACGUCAAGUCCUCAUGGCCCUUAUAGGUGGGGCUACACACGUCAUACAAUGGCUGGUACAGAGGGUUGCCAACCCGCGAGGGGGAGCCAAUCCCAUAAAGCCAGUCGUAGUCCGGAUCGCAGUCUGCAACUCGACUGC
rnacentral:rRNA from 1 species